rnacentral:rRNA from 1 species
CAGUAGCCACGGUAAUACGAGGGGGCCAAGCGUUGUUCGGAUUUAUUGGGCGUAAAGGGUGCGUAGGCGGUUUUUUAAGUCUGGUGUCUAAGUGCGGGGCUCAACCCCGUGACGCACUGGAAACUGGGAGACUUGAGUGCAGAAGAGGAGAGCGGAAUUCCACGUGUAGCGGUGAAAUGCGUAGAGAUGUGGAGGAACACCAGUGGCGAAGGCGGCUCACUGGACCAUAACUGACGCUGAGGCACGAAAGCUAGGGGAGCAAACAGGAUUAGAUACCCCUGUAGUCCCUGUCUCUUAUACA